GGCGUUGUAAUUACCUUCCCAUUUGGGAUUGGGAAAGGUUGUUACAUGAGUGAGAGUUUUGAGGUAACUUGCAACUAUUCUUUCACACCUCCAAAGCCUUUCUUAGCUAGCAUCAACAUGGAAUUGCUGGCCGUGUUGACAAGAAGCCAAGUUCAAGUCAACAAUCCUGUAAUUUCUUCCAAUUGCAGCGACAAAACCUCUAAUAUUAGAGG
rnacentral:misc_RNA from 1 species